rnacentral:RNase_P_RNA from 1 species
GUGGUCAGGCGGAUGGUCGCUCUGCGCCGCCGCUCCCGAUUCAAUCGGGACGACGUGUGCGGGGAGGAAAGUCCGGACUCCGCAGGGUAGGGUGUCCUGGUGUAAUGCCGGGAGGUCUUUCGAUUAAUCGAAAGAAACGGAUAGUGCCACAGAAAUAAACCGCCCCAAAGCCGCGUCAGCGCGCCGAGGGGCAAGGGUGAAACGGCGGUGUAAGAGACCACCGCUCCGGACCGUAAGGUCAGGAGGCAAGGCAAACCCCGCCUGGAGCAAGAUCAAAUAUGAUGCUGGCAAGGCGACCCGCCUUUAUCCGGCGAAUGCCGGAUCAGCAUCGGGUUGAUCGCAAUAAGUCCCGGCCGCCGCCGGCCAGGCAAGAUAAAUGACCAUCGUGCCGGUCGGGCAGGCCUGCCGGCACACAAAAUCCGGCUUAUAGCCUGGCCGCCUGA